rnacentral:rRNA from 1 species
UACGUAGGGUGCAAGCGUUAUCCGGAAUCACUGGGCGUAAAGCGCACGUAGGCGGAUUGUUAAGUCAGGGGUGAAAUCCUGGAGCUCAACUCCAGAACUGCCUUUGAUACUGGCGAUCUUGAGUCCGGGAGAGGUGAGUGGAACUGCGAGUGUAGAGGUGAAAUUCGUAGAUAUUCGCAAGAACACCAGUGGCGAAGGCGGCUCACUGGCCCGGUACUGACGCUGAGGUGCGAAAGCGUGGGGAGCAAACAGG